rnacentral:rRNA from 1 species
GAUGAGACUGCGGCCUAUCAGGCUGUUGGUGGUGUAACGGACCACCAAACCUACGACGGGUAUGGGCAAUGAGAGUUGGAGCCCAGAGAUGGGGACUGAGACAAGGCCCCAGGCCCUACGGGGCGCAGCAGGCGCGAAAACUCCGCAAUGCGCGAAAGCGUGACGGGGGAACCCCAAGUGCCGUUGGUCUUUUGAUCGACGGCUUUUCGGAAGUCUAAGAAGCUUCCGGAAUAAGGGCUGGGCAAGUCUGGUGCCAGCCGCCGCGGUAAUACCAGCAGCCCAAGUGGUGGUCACGUUUAUUGGGCCUAAAGCGCUCGUAGCCGGGUCUGUAAGUCCCUUGUGAAAUCGGACGGCUCAACCGUUCGGCUUGCAAGGGAGACUGCUAGCCUUGGAACCGGGAGAGGUCGGGGGUACUUCGGGGGUAGCGGUGAAAUGCUGUAAUCCCUGGGGGACCACCAGUGGCGAAGGCGCCCGACCAGAACGGAUUCGACGGUGAGGGGCGAAGGCUGGGG